rnacentral:rRNA from 1 species
GACGAACGCUGGCGGCGUGCUUAACACAUGCAAGUCGAACGGAAAGGCCUCUUUCGGGGGGUACUCGAGUGGCGAACGGGUGAGUAACACGUGAGUAACCUGCCCUUGACUUUGGGAUAACUUCAGGAAACUGGGGCUAAUACCGGAUAGGAGCUCCUGCUGCAUGGUGGGGGUUGGAAAGUUUCGGCGGUUGGGGAUGGACUCGCGGCUUAUCAGCUUGUUGGUGGGGUAGUGGCUUACCAAGGCUUUGACGGGUAGCCGGCCUGAGAGGGUGACCGGCCACAUUGGGACUGAGAUACGGCCCAGACUCCUACGGGAGGCAGCAGUGGGGAAUAUUGCACAAUGGGUGGAGGCCUGAUGCAGCAACGCCGUGUGCGGGAUGACGGCCUUCGGGUUGUAAACCGCUUUCGCUCAUGACGAAGCUUUGUGUGACGGUAGUGGGUAAGGAAGCACCGGCUAACUACGUG